rnacentral:rRNA from 1 species
UACGGGGGGGGCAAGCGUUGUUCGGAAUUACUGGGCGUAAAGGGCGCGUAGGCGGUUGGAUAAGUCAGCUGUGAAAACCACGGGCUUAACUCGUGGCCUGCAGUUGAGACUGUCUGGCUUGAGUGUAGGAGAGGAGAGUGGAAUUCCUGGUGUAGCGGUGAAAUGCGUAGAUAUCAGGAGGAACACCGGUGGCGAAGGCGGCAUCCUGGACCGGCAUUGACGCUGAGGAGCGAAAGCCAGGGGAGCAAACGGG